rnacentral:rRNA from 1 species
GUGUGAGUAGCGAAAGACGGGUGAGAAUCCCGUCCACCGAUUGACUAAGGUUUCCAGAGGAAGGCUCGUCCGCUCUGGGUUAGUCGGGUCCUAAGCUGAGGCCGACAGGCGUAGGCGAUGGAUAACAGGUUGAUAUUCCUGUACCACCUAUAAUCGUUUUAAUCGAUGGGGGGACGCAGUAGGAUAGGCGAAGCGUGCGAUUGGAUUGCACGUCUAAGCAGUAAGGCUGAGUAUUAGGCAAAUCCGGUACUCGUUAAGGCUGAGCUGUGAUGGGGAGAAGACAUUGUGUCUUCGAGUCGUUGAUUUCACACUGCCGAGAAAAGCCUCUAGAUAGAAAAUAGGUGCCCGUACCGCAAACCGACACAGGUAGUCAAGAUGAGAAUUCUAAGGUGAGCGAGCGAACUCUCGUUAAGGAACUCGGCAAAAUGACCCCGUAACUUCGGGAGAAGGGGUGCUCUUUAGGGUUAACGCCCAGAAGAGCCGCAGUGAAUAGGCCCAAGCGACUGUUUAUCAAAAACACAGGUCUCUGCUAAACCGUAAGGUGAUGUAUAGGGGCUGACGCCUGCCCGGUGCUGGAAGGUUAAGAGGAGUGGUUAGCUUCUGCGAAGCUACGAAUCGAAGCCCCAGUAAACGGCGGCCGUAACUAUAACGGUCCUAAGGUAGCGAAAUUCCUUGUCGGGUAAGUUCCGACCCGCACGAAAGGCGUAACGAUUUGGGCACUGUCUCAACGAGAGACUCGGUGAAAUCAUAGUACCUGUGAAGAUGCAGGUUACCCGCGACAGGACGGAAAGACCCCGUGGAGCUUUACUGUAGCCUGAUAUUGAAAUUCGGCACAGCUUGUACAGGAUAGGUAGGAGCCUUUGAAACGUGAGCGCUAGCUUACGUGGAGGCGCUGGUGGGAUACUACCCUAGCUGUGUUGGCUUUCUAACCCGCACCACUUAUCGUGGUGGGAGACAGUGUCAGGCGGGCAGUUUGACUGGGGCGGUCGCCUCCUAAAAGGUAACGGAGGCGCUCAAAGGUUCCCUCAGAAUGGUUGGAAAUCAUUCAUAGAGUGUAAAGGCAUAAGGGAGCUUGACUGCGAGACCUACAAGUCGAGCAGGGUCGAAAGACGGACUUAGUGAUCCGGUGGUUCCGCAUGGAAGGGCCAUCGCUCAACGGAUAAAAGCUACCCCGGGGAUAACAGGCUUAUCUCCCCCAAGAGUUCACAUCGACGGGGAGGUUUGGCACCUCGAUGUCGGCUCAUCGCAUCCUGGGGCUGUAGUCGGUCCCAAGGGUUGGGCUGUUCGCCCAUUAAAGCGGUACGCGAGCUGGGUUCAGAACGUCGUGAGACAGUUCGGUCCCUAUCCGUCGUGGGCGUAGGAAAUUUGAGAGGAGCUGUCCUUAGUACGAGAGGACCGGGAUGGACAUACCUCUGGUGUACCAGUUGUCGU